UUGGCAAUGAUGAAAUCAGAAACAAUAACACCAUCUUUCGGGACUGAAUGGUGGAAACCUUGCUGAUAUUCUGCAAUUCUGAGCCCC
rfam:Amborella trichopoda AMTR_V1.0_contig_33468, whole genome shotgun sequence.